ACACAGUUCCUACAUCAGCAUUCUGGAGCAUGCAUUCUCUCUCUCUCUCUCUCUCUCUCUCUCUCUCUCUCUCUCUCUCUCUCACACACACACACACACACACCCACUUAAGCAGAGACUAUUUGUGUAGCCACAAAAAAACCCACAAGUUGUCACAUCCGCCACAAAACUGCGUGACUCUUUAUUUUCUCAUCCCUUGCACAAAAAGUCUUCCAAAGUGUUCACCACAUUGUGUAGUGUGCUCCUUAACUCAUUCUACAUGUUUUUAUGAAGAUAAGCUGAAACAUUUCCAACGUUACUGCUUUUUUUUUCUUCAAAAAAGUGUAGUAAUGGUGUUGCAGGGUUUCAUCAUUUUGCUUUUCUUCAUCAGUAGUAACCAUGGACAUACUGAAUUCAUUUAUACAGCAAAGGAUGAAGUAAAAUUGUUUUGCGACACCAACAAAUGGGAAAUAAACACAGAGUCUGACAACAACAUUGAUGUGAAUUGCACAGUGGAGUGUGUUCAUGGUGAAGCACUCAAACUUCAUAAUACCCAGAAUUCCUGCAAAAAUAAUGAUUCAGUCAAAGUUGGUGAAAAAUGUUCGCUAAUAGCGAGCAGUGGAUUUUAUCGAUGUGUUACUGCUCUGGAUUCUGGUUUCUUAUUUCCAUUCAAACCGUCUCCCAACACUGUCACAUCGUACAUAGUCGCCACUGCAAAUGAAGAAAUGACAAACAAGUCUGAGGAAAGAUCUUCAGUCGAGCUAACUGAAGGUGAAGAUGUACUUUUAAACUGCAGUGUCAUCUUUACAGAAGAAUAUGACAACAAGAACUUUGUAGUGUACUGGAUCAAGACCAUUGGAAAGAACAGUACCUGUGUGUAUUCUUAUGAUUUUGAUUUAUAUACUCGUAUAAGAUACAAUCCCCACUGCAAUGUGCAAGAAGAACUGCUUUACAGACUCUCAAACCAAACUGAAGGCAAAAUCACCCAUAACAUCAGGAUCAGUAACGUAACAGACUCAGAUGCUGGACAAUAUCUUUGUGCCUUACAAGUGCACACACAUAAUAAAACAAAAGGAAAGUGGAAGAUCAUAAAUAAUAUUACAGUCAGUGUACAGAAAGACAAAGGACAUGAAAUAGCUGGAAACAGCGCUGAGUCUCUGAUCCGCUUGUGUGUUACACUGCCAGUAAUACUGGGUAUUCCGGCAGCUCUUAUGGUGGUAUAUUUAUGGAAAAAGAUGAAAAUUUCACCAAGAUCUCAGGCUAUGGAACUGCAAACAAUCCAACAUUGAGAAGAAACUCCUGAUAUGAACUUUGAGGCAUGAGAGUAACACAGCACUUAGGAAGAGCUGACGUUUAAAACGUGUUAAAUAUGUGCUCUUUAUUAUGCUUUCUUUUACUUAAUGAAACUCUCCCAAUACUGUCCCAGCAUGUGUCUUUCUCAUUUCAAACCUACAAAAUUAGUCCAAAAAUUAAUCUGACUUUGGGUCAAAUUUAAUGGUUCUGUAUUUUCUUUCUAAGAAUAAAAAAGCAUUAGAAUGUUUUUAUUGAUGAAAAGACAUUUAUGGC
ensembl:lncRNA